rnacentral:rRNA from 1 species
UACGAAGGGGGGCUAGCGUUGUUCGGAAUCACUGGGCGUAAAGCGCACGUAGGCGGAUCUUUAAGUCAGGGGUGAAAUCCCAAGGCUCAACCUUGGAACUGCCUUUGAUACUGGGGAUCUUGAGUCCGGGAGAGGUGGGUGGAACUGCGAGUGUAGAGGUGAAAUUCGUAGAUAUUCGCAAGAACACCGGUGGCGAAGGCGGCCCACUGGCCCGGUACUGACGCUGAGGUGCGAAAGCGUGGGGAGCAAACAGG